GGUCCAGUCGGCUAGCGGCCCAAGCCCCCGGAUUUUCACUCCGGAGAACGCCGGUUCGAAUCCGGCCUGGACUGC
rnacentral:tRNA from 1 species